UCUAUAAGAAAGUAGGCUAAGCAGGAUGG
rnacentral:piRNA from 1 species